rnacentral:rRNA from 1 species
ACUUUACAAGCGAAGAUUUGUAUUUUUUAAAUUAAAGUAUAACGUUAUGUACUGUUCUGUUUGUUAUGUUGGGGCGACAAAGAUAUAAUAAGUAACUGUUAAUUUUAUUGAAUAGUGAUAAUUAGUUUAAUUGAUCCUCUCUUAGAGAUUACAAGAUUAAGUU